rnacentral:lncRNA from 1 species
CCACAGCAGUGAGAACUACCACAAAUGUCCUAAUACUGGAAAUAGUUUGAGCAACACGAGCAGAUACAGGUUCACUGAAGUAAUUGUAAAGAAGAUAACACAAUAAAUAAACUGUCGAACCAUUGAGAUAUAGGAAUUAAUGGAUUAAGGAAUACAAGAUUAAAAAUAAAGUGGCAUGCAAGUACAUGUUAAGGUGAGAUCACCCACAAUGAGUGCAAGACGAACGUCAUUGAGAAGCUAAUGGUUAAACCUUGAAGCAUGUGCCGAUGUGUGUAUUCAAUAAGUACACAACAAAAACAUCAAUAAAUUAUAGACAUCAUGUACAAUCUUGUGUGUUCUGUUUUAUAUUCUUGACAAUUAGCUCAACCUCAUGGGAAUAUACUCAAGUAGGGGUGCUGAUUGGGGCGGGGCAGGACAGGGCAGGGGAACAGUGUGCAGGGUUGGGGUGGGGCAGGGAACAGUUGGUUUAAGAAGGUUCACCCCCAUCCCUGCCCUGUAGAGGUCGGGGGCGGGGAACGCGACUGUCCGGGGACGGGAAAAAGUUCACAAGGCAUAUCAUAAAAAAAAAAUUUACACAAAAAUCUCACAUAUCAAUACUUUAUGUAUUCUUCAUACUGCAAUUAGCUGGCUGAUAAGAACCGAAUACACAAAUACUGCAAAAUUUUACGUGCCUCUCAAAGAUCCUGCUAUUUCUCUCUCUCUCCAUAGCCAGAAUGUGGGGCACACAGCCACAAAGUCUGCCAUUUUGGAUGUUUUUCUGAAUUGUUUCAUCCCAGCUUUUUAAUUAGCCAAAUCCAUUUUUUAAUUAGCAAAAACUAAACAGAGUUGUUAUCAAUGUAUUUGAUGUCAAGGAAAUCAAAUACCAUGGUGCUCUUAACAGAUAGAUGUAUAUUCAUUAAUUAUAUACAGUAUAAGCUUGGUUGACAAGAACAAUUAUGAUUGUUAAGAAAUCACUGAAAACUCAAAAUUACAUUUUAAGUAUAGAAUUUUGUAACCUGCAAAAAGAGUACCUCUAAAACCACCCUCUAUUCUAUACAUGAAUUUAUCACUGAGUCACUGCUAAUACUGUAUUUUCCUCACUAAAAGACCAUAAAAUGAAGGAAUAACCGCCAAAGGCUGGUAAAAUUUCAUUCUCAAUAACAACCUAAAAUUUUAGUGUAUGGUAGGCUGUAGGAGUAAACAAUUAGUGAUUUGUAACCCAUUCACCCUACCUUCAUCAUCUAUGGAUAAUUCUAUCAAAAAUGACGUUGAAGAUGCAAAUUCUAUCAUAAGAAGCAGAAGAGAGUACUAUGGGGUUUUAGCCGAGAGUGUGAUACUGAAAAUGCCGACAUCAAGAAGGGAUGGGCAUCUCUUCAGACUGUUCCGAGGGAGAUCAUAUUCGACAAUAAGACUAAGACCAAUUUGCUUCUAUGGCCUGUGGAAGAGUUAGAGAGCUUGAGAACGAACAGGAAUGAAUUCAACAAGGUGAAGCUUACAGCUGGAUCAAUUGUGCCUCUCGAUGUUGGCACGACCGCGCAGUUGGAUAUAACUGCCGACUUUGAGAUUGAUAACAAUGCAUUGGAAGGAGUCAUGGAUGCUGAUGUUGGUUACAAUUGUACAACUAGCAAUGGGGCUUAUGAAAGAAGCGUUUUGGGACCAUUCGGUUUAUUAGUUCUUGCAAAUGAUGGUCUUUCGGAGCAGACAGCUGUUUACUUUUAAAUCGCAAAGGGCACAGAUGGCAAUCUGAAGAUAUUCUUCUGCAGUGAUCAAUCCAGAUCUUCGCAGGCCACUGAUAUCCGUGAAAAGAUGUUUAUGGAACUACAGUCCCAGUGCUUAAAGAUGAAAAGUUCUCUAUGAGAAUAUUGGUUGAUCACUCAAUAGUUGAAACCUUUGCUCAAGGUGGACGGAGUGCUAUUACAUCUUGAGUAUAUCCAACAGAAGCUGUUGCAGGAGCAGCUCGAGUGUUCCUUUUCACUCCUGGAGCAGCUGUUACUGCCACUUCAGUCAAAGUAUGGGAAAUGGAAUCGGCAACGAUGGAAAACUACUCAGCCUAGCAAAAGGCGCAACCACGUUUUAACAUGAUUCCCUCAAAUUCAUGUAUUCCCUCUAUGGUACUGGCUAUCCGCACACCCUUGUAGAAGGAAUGGCAGUUUUGCAGAAUUUAUGUUGGGAUGGGAAUCUAUGGUCCAGGGCAUUGGUUAAUGGGGGGAUUAUUUAGGGGUCGGUCCUUGUAUUUAGAACAGUAGUGAUCUCCUCUAGUUUUGUUGUUUAUGGUUUCUUUCAUUAUUAAUAAAGUUUGAUCUUAUCAAAAAAAAAAAAAAAAAAAAAAACUAUUAGUGAUUUUAUCUAAACUUAAUCACCAUAAAACAAUAACUUCUGUGAAUAGAAAACAUAAAUUUUCAGAGCCCCAAGCCAAGGCUUGGAUGUAUUGAACUUCUGGUGCAAGCUCAGUUAAAAACUUCACAUCCACCUUAAAACAAAAAGUUGAUAGAACAGGCCUUCCAAAAUCUGAGUAAGAUUUAACCUCUCAAAUAGGAAUAAAUUUAGAUCAACUGCAAAUACUUAUCUGAACUAAAAACAAUGAGUCGAAUCUUAUGAUAAUGCCUUCAGUUACAACUUACAAGUGCAAGCAUAUAGAAGCCUUGAAAAUGAGCAGGGAAUCGCAAUUAAAAAACUAAAUCUAAAUUUCUUCUUCAAACAAAUAAAAGGGGAACGUGGGAUAUGAGCAGGGGAUCGCAAUUAAAAAACUGAACCUAAAUUUAACUACAAAGUCAAACAAGAAAUACCUGGAGAAGGAGAAUAUGAGCAGGGCAGCGACGCACUUUGGGGGGUGAUAUAUUUCUUCUUCAAACAAAUAAAAGGGGAACGGGGGAUAUGAGCAGGGAAUCUGAUUUCUUCUUUGACGUGAUUACAGGCGCGGGCGAAAACUCUUUGUUCUGCUUAUUCUUUAUCCCCUGAUUCUUCUUUGAUUUGAUUUCUUCUUCAAAAAAAUAAAUAGGCUAUCAAAAACCCUUAAUUACGUGUUGAACAAGAGUAGUGGUGGGAGUGGAAACCGAAAUAGAACGCGGGCUUUAGAACAAAAGACUGUGCUAUUUAAUUUUAGCUACUCUUAGACGUUUUUAGGUCAGCUUAUUUUUCUAGGUUAAAUUAAACAAAAUAUAUAUAUAACCUAUGCUGUCAAAGGCGGAGCGGAGCGCCAGGCGCUGGGAUUUUUGCAGACCGCCUCCACCCCUCAGGCGGCACUCCGGCCAGAAGUCACAGAUCAGUAGAUCACUGUAUAAUGUAUAUUGUAUAUAAAGUUUAAACUUUGAAUUUCUGAAAGUAUGUAAACUCUGUGUAUUAUACAGAUCACGGUAUAAAUGUAUAAUAGUAUAAAAACUUGAUUAGAACUUUAGAAGAAGAACAAAAAAAAAUUGGAUUUGAUUUGAUAUGGAUUGGAUUUGAUUUAUUAUGAAUUUGAUUUGAUUAGAAGAAUAACAAUUUGAUUUGAUUAAUUAUGAACUUACUGUGAGCACGAUGUAGCAGGCAAUAGAGAUCGAGAGCGAAGCAAUAGAGGAGAGAAAUCGAGAACGAAGCAAUAGAGUAGAGAGAUCAAUAACAAUGAAGCAGGAGAGAGAACGAAUUUGAGAAUUUUUUUUUUCUAAGUUUAUAAUUGGGCUUUUAGGGUUUGGGCCGGUUCUAAACACGUUUGUAUGGGCCGCUCUACACAGAGCGCUGGGCCUGAGCGCCGCCCAGGCGGCCCAGAGCGUUUUAAGCGCUAAUUCAGUAGAGCGAAGCGUCCCUCUUAGAAAAUACGCCUAAGCGGCGCUGAGCGGCGCUCAGGCGGCGCCCCUGACAACAUAG